AUACGUAGGGGGCGAGCGUUGUCCGGAAUGAUUGGGCGUAAAGGGCGCGUAGGCGGCCCGGUAAGUCUGGAGUGAAAGUCCUGUUUUUAAGAUGGGGCUUGCUUUGGAUACUGUCGGGCUUGAGGGCAGGAGAGGAAAGUGGAAUUCCCAGUGUAGCGGUGAAAUGCGUAGAGAUUGGGAGGAACACCAGUGGCGAAGGCGACUUACUGGACUGUAACUGACGCUGAGGCGCGAAAGUGUGGGGAGCAAACAGGAUUAGAUACCCUGGUAGUCCACACUGUAAACGAUGAAUGCUAGGUGUAGGGGGUAUCGACCCCUUCUGUGCCGCAGUCAACACAAUAAGCAUUCCGCCUGGGGAGUACGGCCGCAAGGUUGAAACUCAAAGGAAUUGACGGGG
rnacentral:rRNA from 1 species